rnacentral:rRNA from 1 species
CGUAGGUGGCGAGCGUUGUCCGGAUUUACUGGGCGUAAAGGGAGCGUAGGCGGACUUUUAAGUGAGAUGUGAAAUACCCGGGCUCAACUUGGGUGCUGCAUUUCAAACUGGAAGUCUAGAGUGCAGGAGAGGAGAAUGGAAUUCCUAGUGUAGCGGUGAAAUGCGUAGAGAUUAGGAAGAACACCAGUGGCGAAGGCGCUUCUCUGGACUGUAACUGACGCUGAGGCUCGAAAGCGUGGGGAGCAAACAGGAUUAGAUACCCU